UACGAAGGGGGCUAGCGUUGCUCGGAUUGACUGGGCGUAAAGGGUGCGUAGGCGGCUUGUACAGUCAGACGUGAAAUUCCUGGGCUCAACCUGGGGGCUGCGUUUGAUACGUAUGGGCUUGAGUUCGGAAGAGGGUCGUGGAAUUCCCAGUGUAGAGGUGAAAUUCGUAGAUAUUGGGAAGAACACCGGUGGCGAAGGCGGCGACCUGGUCCGAUACUGACGCUGAGGCGCGAAAGCGUGGGGAGCAAACAGG
rnacentral:rRNA from 1 species